rnacentral:rRNA from 1 species
GACGAACGCUGGCGGCGUGCCUAAUACAUGCAAGUAGAACGCAGUUGCGCACGGGUGAGUAACGCGUAGGUAACUGCCUCAUAGCGGGGGAUAACUAUUGGAAACGAUAGCUAAUACGGCAUACUGUGCGAUGGACCUGCGUUGUGUUAGCGAGUUGGUGAGGUAAAGGCUCACCAAGGCGACGAUACAUAGCCGACCUGGGGGGGUGAGCUGGCACACUGGGACGGGUACACGGCCCAGAUUCCUACGGGAGGCAGCCGUAGGGCAUCUGCGGCAAUGGAGGGGAGUCUGACCAAGCAACGCCGCGGGAGUGAUGAAGGUUCUCGGAGCGUAAAGCGCUGGUGUUAGAGAAGCGGGAACUAACCAGAAAGGCACGGCUAACUUCGGGCCAGCAGCCGCGGUAAUAC